rnacentral:rRNA from 1 species
GCAGUAGGGAAUCUUCCGCAAUGGGCGAAAGCCUGACGGAGCAACGCCGCGUGAGUGAUGAAGGUCUUCGGAUCGUAAAACUCUGUUAUUAGGGAAGAACAUAUGUGUAAGUAACUGUGCACAUCUUGACGGUACCUAAUCAGAAAGCCACGGCUAACUACGUGCCAGCAGCCGCGGUAAUACGUAGGUGGCAAGCGUUAUCCGGAAUUAUUGGGCGUAAAGCGCGCGUAGGCGGUUUUUUAAGUCUGAUGUGAAAGCCCACGGCUCAACCGUGGAGGGUCAUUGGAAACUGGAAAACUUGAGUGCAGAAGAGGAAAGUGGAAUUCCAUGUGUAGCGGUGAAAUGCGCAGAGAUAUGGAGGAACACCAGUGGCGAAGGCGACUUUCUGGUCUGUAACUGACGCUGAUGUGCGAAAGCGUGGGGAUCAAACAGGAUUAGAUACCCUGGUAGUCCACGCCGUAAACGAUGAGUGCUAAGUGUUAGGGGGUUUCCGCCCCUUAGUGCUGCAG